ensembl:lncRNA
CACAGGAUCAUCUCUCCUGCCAGGAAAGCUGACCCUCACGUUACUUAGGAUCUCUCCUUGGUGCCAGGCCCUGUGCUCUCUACUGAGGCCACAGAGCAGGUCUGAGCUGACUCCUGCCUCCAAGCGGUUCCCAGUUACUUGUGGGACUGGGGGCCAGACAGUAAAAUCAAUUACAGCCCAGUGUGGUAGGUACUGUAUUGCACAGAGAGAAGGAUACCUAAGGGGAUCUGGGGGGCUCCAAGGAGGGAGCAGCUGACUCUGCCUGCAGAGACCUGGAGGGCAUCCAAAUAAGAACAGGGAACUGCACUGUCUUGCAUCUUCCAGGCCGAGAAGGAGGUGGGGUGCGUUCCUAUUGAGGCAACAACCUGUGCAAAGGCCUGGAGGCAGAAAAGACUGGUCUGUUGAGGAAAAGAAAAACACAUCAGCCAUAAAAAAAAGAAUGAAAAUAAUCCCAUCUGUAGCAACAUGGACGGACCUAGAAAUUGCCAUACUAAGUGAAGUAAGUCAGAGAAAGACAACUAUCAUAUAACAUCCACUUAUACACAGAAUCUUUAAAAAUGAUGCAAAUGAACUUAUUUACAAAAAAGAAGUUGAGUCACAGAUGUAGAAAACAAAUCUGGUUACCAGAGGGGAAAGGAAGGGAGGGAUAAAUUGGGACAUCGGGACUGACAUACACACACUACUAUAUAUAGAACAGAUAACUAAUAAAAACCUACUGAAUAGCAC